rnacentral:rRNA from 1 species
AUACGGAGGAUCCGAGCGUUAUCCGGAUUUAUUGGGUUUAAAGGGUGCGCAGGCGGGAGAUUAAGUCGGCGGUGAAAUUUUGCGGCUCAACUGAAAAAGUGCCUUCGAAACUGGUUUCCUUGAGUGCAGAUGAGGUAGGCGGAAUUUGUGGUGUAGCGGUGAAAUGCAUAGAUAUCACGAGGAACUCCGGUUGCGCGGGCCGCUUGGUAAACUACUACGGGCGCUCAGGCAAGAAGGCGGGGGGAUAAAGCAGGAUUAGAUCCCGUGGUACUUCGCGGUAUACACGGUGAUUUCGGGGUGGUUGGGAUACAAUGUAAGCGGGUGAGCGCAAGCGUUAUAUAUUCCACGUCGGGGGAAUACGGGCGCGAGGGUAACACAAAUGAGUAGGGAGGG